CCUACGGGAGGCAGCAGUGGGGAAUAUUGGACAAUGGGGGGAACCCUGAUCCAGCCAUGCCGCGUGUGUGAAGAAGGUCCUCGGGUUGUAAAGCACUUUCAGUGAGGAAGAACGCCUGGUGGUUAAUACCCAUCAGGAAAGACAUCACUCACAGAAGAAGCACCGGCUAACUCCGUGCCAGCAGCCGCGGUAAUACGGAGGGUGCGAGCGUUAAUCGGAAUUACUGGGCGUAAAGCGCGCGUAGGUGGCUUGAUAAGCCGGUUGUGAAAGCCCCGGGCUCAACCUGGGAACGGCAUCCGGAACUGUCAAGCUAGAGUGCAGGAGAGGAAGGUAGAAUUCCCGGUGUAGCGGUGAAAUGCGUAGAGAUCGGGAGGAAUACCAGUGGCGAAGGCGGCCUUCUGGACUGACACUGACACUGAGGUGCGAAAGCGUGGGUAGCAAACAGGAUUAGAUACCCCAGUAGUC
rnacentral:rRNA from 1 species